UAACACUGGUGUGGCCUCACCUAGAAUAUGAUGUGCAGUUCUGGGCUCCACAAUGUAAAAAGGAUGUUAAGGUACUUGAAAGUGUCCAGAGGAGGGCAACAAAACUGGUAAAAGGGCAGGAAGGCAUGUCCUAUGAAGAGAGGAUGAGAACACUGGGAUUGUUCAGUCUGGAGAAGCGGAGGCUCAGGGG